CGGGACGUAGCGCAGCUUGGGAGCGCGCCUCACUGGGAGUGAGGAGGUCGCCGGUUCAAAUCCGGCCGUCCCGA
rnacentral:tRNA from 1 species